rnacentral:sRNA from 1 species
GCUGGGCAUGGUGGCGCAUGCCUGUAGUCCCAGCAGCUUGGGAGGCUGAGGCAGGAGGUUUGUGAGUUCAAAGCCAGCCUCAGCAAUUUAGCAAGGCACCCUGUCUCUA